GGCGGAGCAUGCGGAUUAAUUCGAUGCAACGCGAAGAACCUUACCAAGGCUUGACAUAUAGAGGAAAGGUGCAGAAAUGUACCCCCCGCAAGGUCUCUAUACAGGUGGUGCAUGGUUGUCGUCAGCUCGUGUCGUGAGAUGUUGGGUUAAGUCCCGCAACGAGCGCAACCCUCGUCCUAUGUUGCCAGCACGUAAUGGUGGGAACUCAUGGGAUACUGCCGGGGUCAACUCGGAGGAAGGUGGGGAUGACGUCAAAUCAUCAUGCCCCUUAUGUCUUGGGCUUCACGCAUGCUACAAUGGCCGGUACAGAGGGCUGCAAUACCGCAAGGUGGAGCGAAUCCCACAAAGCCGGUCUCAGUUCGGAUUGAGGUCUGCAACUCGACCUCAUGAAGUUGGAGUCGCUAGUAAUCGUGAAUCAGCAACGUCACGGUGAAUACGUUCCCGGGCCUUGUACACACCGCCCGUCAAGUCAUGAAAGUCGGUAACACCCGAAGCCGGUGGCCUAACCUUUUGGAGGGAGCCGUCGAAGGUGGGAUCGGUGAUUAGGACU
rnacentral:rRNA from 1 species